rnacentral:rRNA from 1 species
UACGUAGGGGGCAAGCGUUGUCCGGAAUCAUUGGGCGUAAAGCGCGUGUGGGCGGUCCGGUAAGUCCGCUGUAAAAGUCGGGGGCUCAACCCUCGGAUGCCGGUGGAUACUGUCGGGCUUGAGUACGGAAGAGGCGAGUGGAAUUCCUGGUGUAGCGGUGAAAUGCGUAGAUAUCAGGAGGAACACCGGUGGCGAAGGCGCUCAUCUGGCCCAAUACUGACGCUGAGGCGCGAAAGCUAGGGGAGCAAACGGG